GCGGAGGGUGCAGUGAAGGCAGCAGGGCUCCCCGCUCUGGACUGCGGGGAAUGAGCUCAGAUAACUCAGGAUCAGAGGGGUCUAGCAACUUGGCCAAGAUUGCAAAAGCAGAGCCUGACAAGAUCCCAGCUGGGGUCCUAAUCAUCAGGGGAAAUUUGGACACAGAGACAGCCACACACACAGGGAGAAUGCCCAGGGAAGAUGAAGGCAGACAUCAGGCAAUGCAUCUACAGUGAAGGAGCACCAAAGACUGACUGCCAGCG